UGCUGAGACAGCCAGGAGGUUAGCUUGGAAGCAGCUAUCCCUUUAAAGAGUGCGUAACAGCUCACUGGUCGAGCGACAGAGCAUCGAUAAUAAUCGGGCAUCAAGUAUAGUACCGAAGCUUAGGAUUUGCGAGCAAUCGCAAGUGGUAGGGGAGCAUUCUAACAGCGGAGAAGUCGUGUGGUAAUGCACGGUGGAGCGGUUAGAAAAGCAAAUGUAGGCAUAAGUAACGAUAAGGCAGGUGAGAACCCUGCCCACCGAUAGACUAAGGUUUCCGCGGCAAUGUUAAUCAACCGCGGGUAAGUCGGGACCUAAGGCGAACCCGAAAGGGACAGUCGAUGGCCAACCGGUUAAUAUUCCGGUACUACCGUAAUGAGCGAUGUGGUGAAGGAGUAGUGAAAGCUCCGCGAACUGACGAAAUAGUUCGUUGAAAGGCGUAGGUAUAUUUUCUGUAGGCAAAUCCGCAGAGAAUGCUGAAACCCAACAGUACCAGGAGGCUUCGGCCAAAUGGAUAGAGAGUGUAAUCAGACUUCCGAGAAAACCCGCUAAGCAUAUUGUUAUGGUACCCGUACCGCAAACCGACACAGGUAGUCAAGUAGAAGAUACUAAGGUGCUCGAGUGAAUCAUGGCUAAGGAACUCGGCAAAUUAAUCCUGUAACUUCGGGAGAAGGGAUGCCUCGUUCUAGCAAUAGAAAAGGUCGCAGAGAAAUGGCCCAGGCGACUGUUUAACAAAAACACAUGGCUUUGCGAAAUCGCAAGAUGAAGUAUAAGGCCUGACACCUGCCCGGUGCUGGAAGGUUAAGGGGGGACGUUAGUCGCAAGGCGAAGCGUUGAACUGAAGCCCCAGUAAACGGCGGCCGUAACUAUAACGGUCCUAAGGUAGCGAAAUUCCUUGUCGGGUAAGUUCCGACCUGCACGAAUGGUGUAACGAUCUGGGCGCUGUCUCAGCCAUGAGCUCGGUGAAAUUGUAGUCACGGUGAAGAUGCCGUGUACCCGUCACGGGACGGAAAGACCCCAUGCACCUUUACUAUAGCUUCACAUUGGCAUUGGGAGAAUGAUGUGUAGGAUAGGUGGGAGGCGUUGAUCCAGGGCCGCUAGGUUUUGGGGAGCCAACGGUGAAAUACCACCCUUUAUUUUCUUGAUUCCUAAUCCGUCAGAAGGCGGAGACAUUGUGUGGUGGGUAGUUUGACUGGGGUGGUCGCCUCCGAAAGUGUAUCGGAGGCUUUCAAAGGUAUGCUCAGUACGGUUGGUAAUCGUAUGUGGAGUGCAAUAGCAUAAGCAUGCUUGACUGUGAGACUGACGAGUCGAGCAGGGACGAAAGUUGGAUAUAGUGAUCCGGUGGUUCUGCAUGGAAGGGCCAUCGCUCAAAGGAUAAAAGGUACGCUGGGGAUAACAGGCUGAUCUCCCCCAAGAGCUCAUAUCGACGGGGAGGUUUGGCACCUCGAUGUCGGCUCGUCACAUCCUGGGGCUGGAGAAGGUCCCAAGGGUUAGGCUGUUCGCCUAUUAAAGUGGCACGCGAGCUGGGUUCAGAACGUCGUGAGACAGUUCGGUCCCUAUCUGUGAUGGGCGUAGGAAGUUUGAGAGGAUCUGACCUUAGUACGAGAGGACCGGGUUGGACUAACCGCUGGUGUACCGGUUGUCGUGUCAGCGGCACUGCCGGGUAGCUAUGUUGGGACGGGAUAAGCGCUGAAAGCAUCUAAGCGCGAAACCCACCUCGAGAUGAGACUUCCAUUAAGGGACGUCAGAGAUGAUGACGUUGAUAGGCUGCAGGUGUAAAGUCAGAAAUGGCAAAGCUGAGCAGUACUAAUUACCCGUUCGCUUCAGAAC
rnacentral:rRNA from 1 species